CCUACGGGAGGCAGCAGUGAGGAAUAUUGGACAAUGGGGGAAACCCUGAUCCAGCGACGCCGCGUGAGUGAAGAAGUAUUUCGGUACGUAAAGCUCUAUCAGCAGGAAAGAAAAUGACGGUACCUGACUAAGAAGCCCCGGCUAACUACGUGACAGCAGCCGCGGUAAUCCGUAGGGUGCAAGCGUUAUCCGGAUGUACUGGGUGUAAACGGAGCGUAGUCGGCUGCCAAAGGCUGUGGGGAAAUGGCGGGGCCCAACCCCGGGACUGCUGUGGAUACUGUGAGGCUGGAGGUCAGUAGAGGUAGGCGGAAUGCGUGGUGGAGCGGUGAAAUGCGUAGAUAUCAGGAGGAACACCGGCUGCGAAGGCGGCUUAGUGGGCGGGAACUGACGUUGAGGCUCGAAGGCGUGGGGAGCGAACAGGAUUAGAUACCCUUGUAGUC
rnacentral:rRNA from 1 species